GAUGAACGCUGGCGGCGUGCCUAAUACAUGCAAGUCGAGCGAACAGAUAAGGAGCUUGCUCCUUUGACGUUAGCGGCGGACGGGUGAGUAACACGUGGGUAACCUACCUAUAAGACUGGAAUAACUCCGGGAAACCGGGGCUAAUGCCGGAUAACAUUUAGAACCGCAUGGUUCUAAAGUGAAAGAUGGUUUUGCUAUCACUUAUAGGUGGACCCGCGCCGUAUUAGCUAGUUGGUAAGGUAACGGCUUACCAAGGCAACGAUACAUAGCCGACCUGAGAGGGUGAUCGGACACACUGGAACGGAGACAGGGUCCAGACUCCGACGGGAGGCAGCAGUAGGGAAUCUUCCGAAAUGGGCGAAAGCGUGAAGGAGCAACGCCGCGUGAGUGAUGAAGGUCGUCGGAUCGUAAAACUCUGUUAUUAGGGAAGAACAUAUGUGUAAGUAACUGUGCACAUCGGGACGGUACCUAAUCAGAAAGCCACGGCUAACUACGUG
rnacentral:rRNA from 1 species